GUUAGUACUGACUGGGACCAGGCUAGGAGGUUAGUACUGAUCUGGGACCAGGCUAGGAGGUUAAUACUGAUCUGGGACCAGGAUAGGAGGUUAGUACUGACUGGGACCAGGCUAGGAGGUUACUAAGGACUGGGACCAGGCUAGGAGGUUAAUACUGACUGGGACCAGGCUAGGAGGUUAUUACUGAUCUGGGACCAGGCUAGGAGGUUAUUACUGAUCUGGGACCAGGCUAUGAGGUUAAUACUGACUGGGACCAGGCUAGGAGGUUAUUACUGAUCUGGGACCAGGCUAGGAGGUUAAUACUGACUGGGACCAGGCUAUGAGGUUAAUACUGACUGGGACCAGGCUAGGAGGUUACUACUGACUGGGACCAGGCUAGGAGGUUAGUACUGACUGGGACCAGGCUAGGAGGUUAUUACUGAUCUGGGACCAGGCUAGGAGGUUAUUACUGAUCUGGGACCAGGCUAUGAGGUUAGUACUGACUGGGACCAGGCUAGGAGGUUAGUAUUGACUGGGACCAGGCUAGGAGGGUAAUACUGACAGGGACCAGGCUAGGAGGUUAAUACUGAUCUGGGACCAGGCUAGGAGGUUAGUACUGACUGGGACCAGGCUAGGAGGUUAUUACUGAUCUGGGACCAGGCUAGGAGGUUAUUACUGAUAUGGGACCUGGCUAGGAGGUUAUUACUGAUCUGGGACCAGGCUAGGAGGUUAGUACUGACUGGGACCAGGCUAGGAGGUUA
rnacentral:lncRNA from 1 species